ensembl:processed_transcript uncharacterized LOC115062509
GUGCGCCCGCCUGCUCUCAUAUCUGUCCGUUUCCACUUCGCUGCUCUCCACCGGUCUCGGCGUGGUCUGUGGAUUCCGGAGAGCAAGGCAUGCGUCGGCUUCGUGCCGCAGGUUCCUGGCCCACGCCAGCCGGACCCAGUAGCAUAAUGGUAAGCGCAUGCUGGCGAGGGAUGGGCGGUGUGAGCAGGGGCUGACUGCGGGGAGAGGACAGUAAUGAUGAUUUCUGGUGAUUCUGAGUGUCUCGCUGACGCCGUCACCGCAGCGCGCUGACCGUCCCCGGGUCCGAGAUCGGCAGUGGCUUGGGUUUUGAGUUUCGUGGCCUGGAGUUCUUAGUAAUGUACUUCUGUGUCUUGCUUUCUGUUAGGGGUUUGAGAACAUACGCUGGCUGCCUACGCUUGAAGAAAGGUUAGUAUUAGGAUCCACUAGCAUGCUUGCCCCUUGCUUGACUUUUUGGAAGGGGAGGACAGGUUUCUCCAUGUAGCCCUGCUUGCCCUCCUCUCAGACCCCCCUACCUCUACUUUCUGGAAUUAAAGGCAUGCAGCACCACCCACCAGCCCUUGCUUUGUUCUUAAAGUAGUGCCUCCAUUAGCCAGUCUCUAAGCAAGCCACCACCCAGCCAUCUUUCUUUAGAUCGCAACUAAUCUUCCUAACUCUAAAUCUGUGGUGGGUCCACGAGCUGCCUUGAUCAUUUCC